UUUACGGAGAGUUUGAUCCUGGCUCAGGAUGAACGCUGGCGGCGUGCUUAACACAUGCAAGUCGAACGGUGAAGCAGAGCUUGCUCUGUGGAUCAGUGGCGAACGGGUGAGUAACACGUGAGCAACCUGCCCCUGACUCUGGGAUAAGCGCUGGAAACGGCGUCUAAUACCGGAUAUGAGCUGCGAUCGCAUGGUCAGCAGUUGGAAAGAUUUUUCGGUCUGGGAUGGGCUCG
rnacentral:rRNA from 1 species